rnacentral:lncRNA from 1 species
AUAUUUCCUGUAAUACCUGAGGUGUUAUAGGCUUGCAUGACUAUCUCCAAAUGGUCUUAUUUCUUCCCUUAGAAAUACCAACACUUGCAACCUGGAGGCUUUGAUGGAUUGAACAUUUUGACUAGAUAGUUUGUCUCUCAAGAUAUCGUACUGAUAGAAAAAUAAUGUAGAACAUGAUCUAAUGGAACUAAUAUUUAAAACUAUCUGCCUAAAAGAAAACAUUUCCAUCAAAUUGAAAUCCUUUUGCUUACAGGAAGUUAUUCCUUAGCAUAGAGCUGAAAAAGUGUUUGCAAUCUGUACACA